rnacentral:lncRNA from 1 species
AAAAUAGUGGAGUUGGGGAAAAGCUGGGGAGAUAUCUUACACUUGUGGCAGAUAGGAACUUGGUGUCAGGAUACUUCUUACCAAAUUGAUGGGGAGUAAGUUAAUAAACAUUGUUAAAGUAUCUCAGCACAAAGAAAAGUAAACACAUUCCCACUUAAAAAGGGGAGGUUGAGCUGGGCAUGGUGGCAUGAUUAUAGGGCACACACCUGUAAUCCCAGCAACUCCAGAGGCUGAAGCAAGAAGAUCUUGAGUUCAAAGCCAGCCUUAGCAAGAGCAAAGCCCUUAGCAACUCAGAUGUGUGUCUAAAUAAAAUACAAAAUAGGGCUGGGGGUGUCGCUCAGUAUUAAGCACCCCUGGGUUCAAUCCCUGGUACCAAAAAAAGGGGGGGGGGUGAGGUUGUAGCUCAGUGGAAGAGCACUUGCCUAACGUGUUCAAUUCUCAGCACCAUAUAUGCAUAUAUGUACCAUAUAUGAAUAAAUAAAAUAAAGAUCCAUCGUCAACUUUAAAAAGGCGGGGGUAUUCAAAGAAUACAGUUUUGCCAGAUUUCAU